AUUGAACGCUGGCGGCAUGCCUUACACAUGCAAGUCGAACGGCAGCACGGGGCAACCUGGUGGCGAGUGGCGAACGGGUGAGUAAUGCAUCGGAACGUACCUUUCAGUGGGGGAUAACGUAGCGAAAGUUACGCUAAUACCGCAUAUUCUGUGAGCAGGAAAGCAGGGGAUCGCAAGACCUUGCGCUGAUUGAGCGGCCGAUGUCAGAUAGCUAGUUGGUGAGGUAAAGGCUCACCAAGGCGACGAUCUGUCGCGGGUCUGAGAGGAUGAUCCGCCACACUGGAACUGAGACACGGUCCAGACUCCUACGGGAGGCAGCAGUGGGGAAUUUUGGACAAUGGGGGCAACCCUGAUCCAGCCAUGCCGCGUGAGUGAAGAAGGCCUUCGGGUUGUAAAGCUCUUUCGGCCGGGAAGAAAUCGCACGGGCUAAUACCCUGUGUGGAUGACGGUACGGGAAUAAGAAGCACCGGCUAACUACGUGCCAGCAGCCGCGGUAACAC
rnacentral:rRNA from 1 species